rnacentral:lncRNA from 1 species
CUUUCUCGGGUUGCAGCAAUAGAUUCGUUUUCAUUCUCUUCAGGUCUUGGAGUAUCCAAAACAUAAGCAAUCUUCAAAGUUGAUAACAAAAAGUGCAUUUUUUUCUGCCAUCGUCGAAAAUUGCCACCAUCAAAACGAUCAAGUUUAACAAAGUUGGAAGCCAACUCCCUUAGUGUUCCACUUUCAUGUGUUGUGGUAGUCAUCAUGAAAUAUAACCUUAAAAUUGUUAGUACAAAACUCCGGUAAGAAAAAAACUCGAACACACGAUCGGAACUCGAAAAGAAAAAGAAGAAAUAGGACAGGCUCCAAGGCGUGUAUCAAGCCACUAUCUUUAAGGUUAUAUUCGCCCCCACUUAUCUUCAGUGUGCAAACGAGUUCCAAGCAAAUUAACCUCGAGGAUACAAUGAAGCCAAUGACUAUUUGCGUUUUGCACUGACGAGAAUAGUCCACUAUGCACUGAGUAAUGUAUAACAAAAACUCAAUUUCUACAAAGGAUUUCUGCAGCAAUACUUUAUAGAAUAAUCUAAUAAUAUUAGAAAAUGAAGGAAGAGAAGAAA